rnacentral:rRNA from 1 species
AUGAAGAAGAUCUUCGGCGCCAAGAAGAGCCAGGACCCGCCGCCGUCCAUCCAGGACGCCACCGACCGGAUAUACAAGCGGGGGGACACGGUGGACGAGAAGAUCAAGAAGCUGGACGCGGAGCUGGCGCGCUACAAGGAGCAGAUCAAGAAGACCAGGCCGGGACCCGCGCAGGAGGCCGUCAAGGCGCGCGCCAUGAGGAUCCUCAAGCAGCGCAAGAUGUAUGAAGGUCAACGUGACAUGCUGUACAACCAAACUUAUAAUCUUGACCAAGUUGCUUUCGCAUCAGAGGGAAUUAAAGAUGCUCAACAAACUAUGACUGCAAUGAAGGCUGCCAAUAAAGAGCUGAAAGGGAUGAUGAAGACUGUCAGGAUUGAAGAUGUAGAUAGCAUGCAAGACGAGAUGAUGGAUCUUAUGGAUGUGAGCAAUGAAAUACAAGAAACUCUUGGCAGAAGCUACAAUGUCCCAGAUGACAUCGAUGAGGAGGAACUUAUGGGCGAGCUUGAUGCUUUGGAAGCCGAUAUGGACUUUGAAUCGAAUUCAGUCCCAUCGUACCUCCAACCAGACAAGGAGACUGAUCUUGAUUCUGAGCUUAACUUACCUGCUGCACCAAGUGGUCAUGCAGCAAUCCCGGCGAACCGGCAGCAGGAGGAUGAACUGGGACUGCCUACCGUGCCGCACGCAUCAAUUCGUACCUGA